GUCUAUGACCAUACUACCUUGAAUGCUCCUGAUCUUGUCUGAUCUCAGAAGCUAAGCAGGGUCAGGCCUGGUUAGUACUUGGAUGGGGGAUUUGCUCAAGAGCAAAACUGCAAUUCAACAAUA
ensembl:rRNA 5S_rRNA 5S ribosomal RNA